AACCUAUUCCCUCCGUUCCAAAUUACUCGUCGCAGAAAUGGAUGUAUCUAGAACUAAAAUACAUCUAGAUACAUCCAUAUCUGCAACAAGUAAUUCGGAACGGAGGGAGUAAUAA
rnacentral:pre_miRNA from 1 species